rnacentral:rRNA from 1 species
AUUGAACGCUGGCGGCAGGCCUAACACAUGCAAGUCGAGCGAGCGGCGGACGGGUGAGUAAUGUCUGGGAAACUGCCUGCUGGAGGGGGAUAACUCCUGGAAACGGUAGCUAAUACCGCAUACCAUCGGAUGUGCCCAGAUGGGAUUAGCUAGUAGGUGGGGUAACGGCUCACCUAGGCGACGAUCCCUAGCUGGUCUGAGAGGAUGACCAGCCACACGGGAACUGAGAAACGGUCCAGACUCCUACGGGAGGCAGCAGUGGGGAAUAUUGCACAAUGGGCGAAAGCCUGAUGCAGCCAUGCAGCGUGUAUGAAGAAGGCCUUCGGGUUGUAAAGUACUUGCAGCGGGGAGGCGUUACCCGCAGAAGAAGCAACGGCUAACUCCGUGCCAGCAGCCGCGGUAAUUC